GAGCAUGUAUUGUUACAGCCCUCUGAGAUGGUAUAAAAGAAUGAAAGAAGACACGACCUGCCUUCCAGGAGUUUCACAAAAAAGAUGGGAUGAACACAGGGACGGGUAAAUUGAAGCAAAAAGCAGACAAGUUCUAUGGGAUUUGCUGGCAUUGAUUUCCCAGGAUGGCAAAGUGCUAAGAACUAAACCUUUAAAGCUAACAAAAUGUACUGAUGUCUUUGCAAAGUAUCCAAGACCAACAAGAAAGUAAUUUCCCACCUCACCCUACCACCACCCAGAAAAGGAGCACAGAGAUGGGGAAGAGAGUGGCUGCAUCUGGCAUCCAGCCAGAGGAGUCCGUGCAGGGAUUCUGGAUCCCUCUUCCCCCACCCCACUGCCCUUCCCCCUCCACCCCAGCGUUUUGGAGAAGCAAGAAACUGUGAUGAUGCAGCUCCCUCAAGUAUCACAUGAAGAUAGUGGAAAGAGCCUCCUGAGGUAAAUAUGCCAUGUAGACAGAAACAAGCAAUGGCUCAACAGCAAUGUAUGAGGUCCAAGGACCAGGACCAAAGGGAAAAACAGCCAUCUCACCAGACACCUGCCUACGACCAGAUGCGUCAUCUCCAAUAUUAGCUAACUCCCUGGAACCUGGACUCAAGGUGUGAAAUAAAGGUUAAUGGGAAACCGCAGGAGUCAAAAGGAGGGGGCAGGAUUAUUGAGGAUUCAGGCUGUUGAGAAAUGAAAGUUUGGAUCACUCCCCAGAUAAAGAACCUUGACCAUUUAAGGGCAAUGGAAAUACAGAAUAGGCAGUAGAAGAAGGAAGCCAUAGAUACCAACUAUGGCCUCUCAAUCAAUUACAAAACUGAGAAUUCUGACAGUUUUGUGUAUUUCCUCUUUGCAUGUGAUGUAUAUGUGUGUAUUUGUAUAUAUUAACCAUUUUCCUUUUUCUCUCUUCAUUAUUUUAUGAAAGUUGUUGAAUAUAAACUCUACAAUUUAGCCUUUAGGUAAGAGAAUAUUCAGUGGGACUUUGAUUUGAGGAGUAUUUAAGACAGCCAGAUGAGACUACGAUAACUGUUGGAACUGUGUGUCUCCUCAUUUGGGGAAAGGGGUGAGAACUCUGCAUUUCUCUGAAGAACAGAGUUGACUUUGUGUUAUACAGAGUUCAAAUAUAUAUAUAAAAUGGUGCAUGUGGAAGCUAAGAAGCCAAAGGAGUUCACCAAGACAGUUAUCAAUAUAUUGCCUCUCCGCUCCAAAUCCACCCUUCUUUGCCCUGUUCCACGAUACUAAUCUGGCUCCUCGGUCAGCCAGUGCAAUGUCAUCUGUUGCUGGUAGAGUGUAGGGGAGACACUACAAGGUAUAGUAAAGGGGUCAGAUGCGGUGUCUCAUGCCUGUAAUCACAGCCCUUUGGGAGGCAGAGGCAGGAGGAUCACCUGAGGCCAGGAGUUUGAGACCAGCCUGGACAACAUGGUAAAACCCCAUCUCUACUGAAAAUACAAAAUUAGCACGCACCUGUAAUCCCAGCUACUCGGGAGGCUGAGGCAGGAGAAUCACUUGAACCUGGGAGGUGGAGGUUGCAGUGAGCCAAGAUCGCAUCAUUGCACUCCAGCCAGGGAAAAAAGGCAAAACUCUGUCUCAAAAAAAUAAAUAAAUAAAAUAAAAUAAAACAAGGUAUAGCAAAUAAAGGAGCAUUCCUUCUUGAUUCUUCCUGGUUCUUGUUACCUGUGGCCGCCACCAGUGGUGUAUGGGAGAGUCACCCUACAGUGAGUUCCACCAGCACCUAGUGAGGGCUUCCUACUGAGUUUUAUUGUCACCCGAGCAGGCAAUUUCCUUGCCAGCAGUAUGCAGGAGACCCAAUGGUGACCACCUUCCAGUGGGUUUUUCCAGCACCCUAGAAGGCACUUUUUUGACCACAGUGCUGAUCCACUGGCACCCAACAGCCAGUACCCUACUCACCAGGCCUGGCCUGUGGCACCUCAAAGAACUUUUCUAUCCUGCGGGCCACAGCACCACCCUCUCCAACAAGGUCUGAAUCUCAGCCUUCAGGUGUGAAAGACCCUUCCAUGUUUGUUCUUUUCUUGGGUAUCCUCCCUCAGUCCUAGAAGUAGCAGCUCUUCCCUAUGUUUGCUAUUUCUGUGUUAUUUAGCAUACAAUUUACCCCUUUUGUAGUUUAUCACAUUUUGCCAGUUAAUAAUUCUUUAUAGUAAAUGUUCCCUCUUCAAAUUACUAUCUCUCACCAAACACUGACUUCUAUAUCCUCAUCAGACACUGAGUGACACAACCUCCUUCAGAAAAGAAUCCCUUUCACCCUGCCCUUCAUGAUGAACACUCUCAACAAAUUAGGUAUAGCAGGAACAUACCUUGACAUAAUAAAGGCCAUAUAUGACGAGCCCACAGCUAACAUCAUACUGAAUGGGGAAUAACUGAAAGCCUUUCCUCUAAGAACUAGAAUAAGACAAGGACACCUACUCUAAGCACUCUUAUUCGGCAUUAUACUGGAAGUCCUAGCCAGACUUUCUCUUUCCGGAAAGAGAAAGAAAUGAAAGGCAUCCAAACUGGAAAACAGGAUGCCAGCCAGUUGUGGUGGCUCAAGCCUGUAAUCCCAGCACUUCGGGAGGCUGAGGUGGGCAGAUUGCUUGAACCCAGGAGUUCAAAUCCAGACUAGACAACAUGAUGAAACCCUGUCUCUAUGAAAAAUACAAAAAUUAGCCAGGUGUGGUGGCACACACCUGUAGUCCCAACUACUCAGGAGGCUGAGGUGGGAGGAUCACUUGAGCCUGGGAAAUAGAGGAUGCAGUGAGUCAAGAUCACACCAGAGCACUCCAGCCUGGAUGACAGAGAGAGAUUCCAAUUCAAAAAAAAAAAAAAGGAAGAAGCCAAAUUGUCUCUACUUCAGAUGACAUGAUUUUACAAAUUCAGUAAUGUUACAAGACACAAAAUCAAUAUAAAAAAUCGGUUGUGUUUUUAUACACCAAUAACCAACUAUCUGAAAAAGAAACCAAGAAAGCAACCUCAUUUAUAACUUCAAAAAAGUCUCAGGGAUAAAUUUAGCCAAGGAGGUGAAAGAUUUCUAUGAAAGCCAAAACAAAACAAAACAAAAAACACUACACCCUGAUGAACAAAAUUGAAGAGGAUACCAAAAAUAGAAAGACAUAUUAUGCUCAUGAAUUGGAACAAUUAAUAUUGUUAAAAAUGACUAUACUACCCAAGGUAAGCUAUAGAUUUAAUGCAAUUCCUAUCAAGAUACUAAUGACAUUCUUUGAAUCAAUAGAAAAAACAAUCCUAGAAUUCACAUAGAACCAUAGAAGAGCCCAAAUAGCAGCAAUACUCAGCAAAAAGAACAAAGCUGAAGGCAAUCACACUAACACAUUUCAGAAUAUACUACAAAGCUAUAGCAACCAAAACACUAUGCUAUUGGUAUAAAAACAGAUACACAGACCAGUGGAACAGAACAGAGAAUCCAGAAAUAAAUUCACAUAUUUACAGCCAGCCAAUUUUUGACAAAGUUGCCAGGAACAUACACUGAGGAAAGGACAUUCUUUUCAAUAAAUUGUGCUAAGAAAACUGGAUAUUCACAUGCAGAAGAAUGAAACUAGACCUCUAUCUCUCACAAUGUAUAAAAAUCAAUUCAAAAUGGAUUAAAGACUUAAAUACAAGACCUGAAACUAUAAAACUACUAAAAGAAAACAUAGAGGAAAUGCUUCAAGAUAUUGAUCUAGGCAAAGAUUUUAUGGCUAAGAUCUCAAAAGCAGGGGCAACCAAAACAAAAAUAGACAAAUGGAACGACAUUAAACUAAAAAGCUUCUGCGCAGGAAAGGAAACAAUCAACAGAGUGAAGAGAUAACAUGAACAAUGGAGAAAAAAUUGCUAACUAUUCAUCCAACAAGGGACUAAUAUCCAGAAUAUACAUAGAACUCAAAACAAUUCGACAGCAAAGAAUCAAAUAAUCUCACUAAAAAGUGAGCAAAGGACAUGAAUAGACAUUUCUAAAAAGACAAAUGGCUAACAGGUUUAGGAAAAACUGCUCAACAUCACGGAUCAUCAGGAAAAUACAGAUCAAAACCACAAUGAGAUACCAUCUCACCCCAGUUAGAAUGGUUAUUAUCAAAGUCAAAAAAUAACACAUGCUGGUGAUUAUGUGGAGAAAAGGGAACUCUUUAUGCAUUGUUGGGAAUGUAGAUUAGUACAACGACUAUGGAAAACAGUAUGAAAGUGUCUUUAAAAACUAAAAAUAGAACUACCAUCUGACCCAGCAAUCCCACUACUGUCUCUCUGUCCAAAGGAAAGGAAAUCAAUAAAUCAAAGGGACAACUGUACCCCCAUAUUUAUUGCUGCUCUAUUCACAACAGCCAAGGUAUGAAAUCAACCUAAGUGUCCAUCAACAGAUGAAUGAAUAAAGAAAAUAUGGUAUAUAUACACAACAAAAUACUAUUCAGCCAUUAAAAAUGAAAUCUCAUCAUAUGCGGCAACAGGGAUGGAAUUGCAAGUCAUUAUGUUUAGUGAAAUAAACCAGGCACAGAAAAACAAGUAUCACAUGUUCCCACUCAUAUGUGGGAGCUAAAAAGUUGACCUCAUGGAGGUAGGGAAUAGAAUGAUAGAUACCAGAGGCUGGGAAAGGGCUGGGGGGAUGAGGACAGAUUGGUUAAUGGGUACAAACAUACAGUUAUGUGGAAGAAAUAAGUUCUAGUGUUUAAUAGCACAAUAGAGUGUCUAUAGUUAACAAAAAAUAUAUUGCAUAUUUCAAAAUAGCUGAAAGAGAAGUUCUGAAAUGUUCCAAACACAAAGAAAUAAAUGCUUGAGGUAAUGGAUUUUCUAAAUAUGCUGAUUUGAUCAUUAUAUACUGUAUGCAUGUAUCAAACUAUCACAUGUACCUGAUACAUAGCAAUAUUAUGUAUUAAUAAAAAUUAAUAAAUAAUAAGUAAUAAACUUUAAAAAUAAUGUCCUUUAGAAAAGUUCUAAUUUUUUCCACAAAAAUUGAUAGUGUUAAAAAAUUAUAGCACCUCAAAAAAGACCUUUCACAAAAUAGAUGCUCAAAAAAUUCAUUGAAUUUUUGCCAAAUAAUUAUAAUUGUAAAAUUUUCCUUUUUACAAGGCUGUGAAGAAAUUGGAAUCCUCAUGCCAUACUUACUGGUGAGAUUGUAAGAUGAUGCAGUCACUUUGCAAACAGUCUGGGAAUUCCUCAAAAUAUUAAACAUAGAGUCACCCUAUGACCCAGUAAUUCUAUUUCUAGAUAUGUACCCAAAAGAAAUGGAAACAUAAUGCCACACUAAAACUUGUUCACAAAUGUUCAUGGCAGCAUUGUUCAUAGUAGCCAAAAAGUGAAAACCAUCCAAAUAUUCAUCAAGUGAUGAAUGGAUAAAUAAAGAUGUGGAAUACACAUACAAUGGAAUAUUACUCAGCUAUAAAAGGGAAAGACACUUACAAAUGCUACAUGAUAAAUGUGAAAGCAUUAUACUAAGUGAAAGAAGCCAGAGCCAGUCACAAAAUACCACAUAUCGUAUGAUGCCAUUUAUAGGAAAUGUCUAGAAUAGACAAGUCUAUGAGGACAGAAAGUUGUUUAGUGGUUGCCUAGGACUGAGGGUACAGGGUGGCAAGAGGGAGCUGCCAGGAAUGCAACAUGCUAAUGAAUAUGAAGUUUCUUUUGGGGUUCUAACAUGUUCUAGAAUUAGAUGGUGGUGAUGUUUGCACAACUCUGUGGUUAUACUAAAUAAAUGAACUGUACACUUUAAAUAUAUCUAAAUGUAUGUAAAUUAUAUCAUAAUGUCUGGGUUUUAUUAAUUGCCUUUUAAAUGUGGCUUUAGUUCUGUCUGUAUACUUCAUGAAAUGUAUCAAAGUAAUGCUAAAAUAAAACCAAUAAUUAAACCCAAUGAAUCACAA
rnacentral:lncRNA from 10 species